ensembl:lncRNA
AAAAACACGGCCCAUGUAAAACUGUUGAGGGGAUAUUGAUAUCUAAUAUAGUGUUGCCAUGGCAAAAUAUCAAACUGGAAUAUUUUUCUUUAUAAUAUAUUCUGAUUUUGAGGCAGAUAACAUGCUUAGAAUUUCAUGAAACUCAGAACACAUAUCAGUAUUAAUGAUAGCUAGACACUGGCAAAAAGGUCAUAAAAAGGGCGUGGAGGAGGCACUCUAUAGCGCCACCUUUUGUCAAAAGUGGGGGGCUUAGUUUUAGCUACAGACACCAAACUCGGUACAUAUAUUGUUCUUAUUAAGACGGACAACUUUCUAAUUUACAGUCAUAAGCUACGACCAACAGGAAGUCGGCUAUUUUGAUUUGAAUAUGGAUUUUUGGCUCUGUGUGAGGAAUGUAUGUGUGCUGAGACUUUCAUUGUCUGAGAGAAAUUGCGCCUCUACAGGAGCAAUCCCCGGGACUGAGAGGGAGGAGUCUCAACGAGCUCACAACAAACGAGUUUAUUCUUGUUUGAGACCUUUUAAAAAUAAAAUAUUACGGCGAUUGCACACAAUCCGCCAAUUAGAACACACCAAGAGCUAAAUUCAGAUGUUUGUGAGCUGUUAACAUGUUAAAAUGAAAUAUUUGCUGCAGCCUGUCUGACAGCGCGAGACGUCUGAACACUUGAAGGGAAAAAAAGUGUACAUACAGAAACUACAGCCUUUUACAUUAAAACACAGCGGCGAAUCCAACAAAAAACAAUUAGAAGAACAUAUUAUAGAGAUGAAAAUGAGUGUUUAUGAGUGCUUGUGAGAUUUUCUUUGUCUAAAGGCUGAACAUCACAUCGAUUGAUCUGCGCUCCAGAACACGGUGAUGGUUUUUCGGCGAGAACGGACAAAUAAAUACACGUUUCAUUCACACUGACAAGCUGAACCAACAUAUGUUAUUAUUACCGGCUCAGAUCUCAUUAAUAAUUGAUGUCUGGCCAGAGAUCAGUGAGAAGGACCAGAGAGAAAUCACCGCUGCAUCAGCGCCUGCAGUCUCACCACAAGCUCACAAUAAAAGCAUUUUUAUAGUUUUAAGAGCUUUUUUUAAAAAUAAAAAUAUUACCGUGAAUGCACACAAUCCACUCCAUUAGAACACAACAAGAGCUAAAUACAGGUAUUUGUGAGCUGUUUGAUUGUGAAAAUUGAAAGACUAUUUGACAGCGCGAGACUGUCUAAGGGCAGAAUAACAUCGAUCUCUCGAGCUCCAGAGGACGCUGAUUCUGGCAAGAACGAACAAAUC